CACGUAGGGGGCAAGCGUUGUCCGGAUUUAUUGGGCGUAAAGAGCUCGUAGGCGGCUUAGUAAGUCGGGUGUGAAACCUCCAGGCUCAACCUGGAGACGCCACCCGAUACUGCUGUGGCUAGAGUCCGGUAGGGGAGCGUGGAAUUCCUGGUGUAGCGGUGAAAUGCGCAGAUAUCAGGAGGAAUACCGGUGGCGAAGGCGGCAUCCUGGACCGGCAUUGACGCUGAGUGAGCGAAAGCCAGGGGAGCAAACGGG
rnacentral:rRNA from 1 species